rnacentral:misc_RNA from 1 species
AAAAUAAUUAAAUUAUAUAUAUUUUUUUAUUUUUCAUACUAUUGAAAGAUUAUAGCAUCAUAAGUGCUGAUGGUGAUGGCAUAAUAGCGUCAAUAAUGACAGUUAUAGUAUUAUGGUGCUUAUAAUAUUAUCAAUUUAACUAUUAAUAAAACUAAAAAAUAGAUUAGAAUUAAUUACUCAUCUGAAAUUUAAAUAAAUGUAUAUGAAUAAUCAAAAGAUUAGUUUGCUGUUCACUGUCUGCAUGGGUUGGUUUUAGACCUAACGGGUAGUGCUGAUUCAGUUGAAGUGAGUUUGCUCCAUGUAGUUAAGAGAGUUUUUCUAAAUUUGGCUGCUAAGUAUUUUCAAGAUUUGCUUCUACAUCAUGACUAAGAAGGUCAUCCCGGUUGGUUUCAUGUGCCUUGAGUUUUGCGACAACACUCUUUCAUGGUAUGGAGUUAAACUUGCGGCCUCUAAAAAGGUUUGGAAGUUUACUCUAAUUGAUGGUUUUACUGUGCAAGGAAGGAUGACCAUCGUAGCGCCUUGUGUUGCAGGGCUGCAUUUGUUUGGUUUCGAUCUCUGCUCAGUUCUUCCAUUGAUUGGCAACUUGGGCGGUGGACAAAAGGUGGUCAUGGUUCUUACACUUCUUUCCCUGCAAUCUUAGGGUUCUAAGUUGGGAAGAGUAUGUUAAUGGGUUAAGUUUUUGUUUGGGUUUGAUUGGGCUUUUGAACUGGGCUGGCUGUGAAUCUUCAGAGUGGGCUUUCUUUCUUUAAGCGAAUAACAUACAUUUGUCCUUUUAGGGAAGAAAAGAAAAUUAGACACUUUCUAUGUUGGUGGAGAUUUAAUUAACAUUUUUAUGUUAUGAAUGUGGGAAAAUUUUU